GGGCGAUUAGUUUAGUGGUAGAACGUCGGUUUCCAAAACCGAUAGUGGGGGUUCGAUUCCUCCAUCGCCCG
rnacentral:tRNA from 1 species